UUCCUCCUCCCGCCGCGGCGGUGAUGUCAGGGCCCUGCGCGUCCCGGGCGGUGGUGCUGUGUCAAAUUACUUCACUUUAAAUUCCUGUCCUUGUGUAAGGCAGGCCCUGCUUAAAACGUCUGGAAGUCCAGCGGGUAUUUACACCUGGAGACAAAAGGCAAAAUAAGCUGCAGCUGCGUCAGGCAACGGAAAUCGCCGUAGCUGGAGGGAUAGUGAGCGCUUGUCCAGAGCCUGAAAAUGGAUUAAAACCAGAAAAAACAAAAGGCUCUUGGCAAGCUGCUAUUGGGCCCUCUCGAUUUUUGGCCCUCUCGAUUUUUAGCCCUUGUAUUCUGAGGAUAAAAGUCAAACCGGAGCCCGCAUUGUGAUGCUUGAUGCUUUAUUAGAUGUCUGUACUUUUUCAUAAAUACCUGCAAUAUCGGAAAUGUCACCACUAUACUGAAGUAGUAAGUUAUUAAAACACGUUCUGAAAACAGCAUACAGACCCAAA